AGAGUUUGAUCAUGGCUCAGGAUGAACGCUAGCGGCAGGCUUAAUACAUGCAAGUCGAACGGUAACAGGCCCGGCAACGGGUGCUGACGAGUGGCGCACGGGUGCGUAACACGUAUGCAACCUACCCUUAACCGGGACAUAACACUGAGAAAUUAGUGCUAAUAUUCCAUGGUGUUACGAAGAGGCAUCUUUUUGUAAUUAAAGAUUUAUUGGUUAGGGAUGGGCAUGCGUCCCAUUAGUUAGUUGGAGUGGUAACGGCACACCAAGACGAUGAUGGGUAGGGGUCCUGAGAGGGUUAUCCCCCACACUGGUACUGAGACACGGACCAGACUCCUACGGGAGGCAGCAGUAAAGAAUAUUGGGCAAUGGGCGGGAGCCUGACCCAGCCAUGCCGCGUGCAGGAAGACGGCCCUAUGGGUUGUAAACUGCUUUUGUUUGGGACUAACAGCCGGGUCGUGACCCGGCCUGCAGGUACCGAAUGAAUAAGCAUCGGCUAACUCCGUGCCAGCAGCCGCGGUAAUACGGAGGAUGCGAGCGUUAUCCGGAUUUAUUGGGUUUAAAGGGUGCGUAGGCUGGUAAUUAAGUCAGUGGUGAAAUACUCCGGCUCAACCGGGGGGCUGCCGUUGAUACUGGUUACCUUGAGUUUAGAUGAUGUGGGCGGAAUGUGUCAUGUAGCGGUGAAAUGCAUAGAGAUGACACAGAACACCGAUAGCGAAGGCAGCUCACAAAGCUAUUACUGACGCUGAUGCACGAAAGCGUGGGGAUCAAACAGGAUUAGAUACCCUGAUAGUCCACGCUGUAAACGAUGAUCACUAGCUGUAGGCGAUACACUGUCUGUGGCUAAGCGAAAGCGAUAAGUGAUCCACCUGGGGAGUACGUCCGCAAGGAAGAAACUCAAAGGAAUUGACGG
rnacentral:rRNA from 1 species